rnacentral:rRNA from 1 species
GCGGUAGGCCUAACACAUGCAAGUCGAACGGUAACAUGAGAGCUUGCUCUUGAUGACGAGUGGCGAACGGGUGCGUAACACGUAUACAAUCUACCUUUAACUGAGGGAUAGCCCAGAGAAAUUUGGAUUAAUACCUCAUAGUAUUAUUUUAAGGCAUCUUUUUAUAAUUAAAACUCCGGUGGUUAAAGAUGAGUAUGCGUUCUAUUAGUUUGUUGGUGAGGUAACGGCUCACCAAGACUACGAUAGAUAGGGGGCCUGAGAGGGUGAUCCCCCACACUGGUACUGAGACACGGACCAGACUCCUACGGGAGGCAGCAGUGAGGAAUAUUGCGCAAUGGAGGAAACUCUGACGCAGCCAUACCGCGUGUAGGAAGAAUGUCCUAUGGAUUGUAAACUACUUUUAUACAAGAAGAAACCCCAGUACGUGUACUGGGCUGACGGUAUUGUACGAAUAAGCACCGGCUAA